CAUAUUGGACAAGUGAUAUGAUUUAUACGAACAUAUUGGACUAGUGUUAUGAUUUAUAUGAACAUACUGGACAAGUGUUAUGAUUUAUAUGAACAUAUUGGACAAGUGUUAUGAUUUAUAUGAACAUAUUGGACAAGUGUUAUGAUUUAUACGAACAUACUGGACAAGUGUUAUGAUUUAUAUGAACAUAUUGGACAAGUGUUAUGAUUUAUACGAACAUAUUGGACAAGUGUUAUGAUUUAUGUAGAGUCACAGAUGAGUCUGCAUCGGAUACGAGCUUUGUAUGAACAUAUUGGAUAUGAAGUGUUGUGAUUUAUGUUAAGUGAAAUAGAAGUGUUCAGGGAAUAAAGUUAAUGUUCAAAGUAUGAAUAGGUAGCACAGUAAUAAUGAAAUGUUCAGUAGAAUUAAAGUGUCAGUUGAAAUUUUGUUGGAAGGAUUUGUUGCAAUAAAAGACACGAAUCUACUCUU